rnacentral:tRNA from 1 species
GGAGAGGUGGCCGAGAGGCUGAAGGCACUCGCCUGCUAAGCGAGUAACGGGGGUAACCUCGUUCGCGGGUUCGAAUCCCGCCCUCUCCGC